rnacentral:lncRNA from 1 species
GGCAUAGGAGUUGGAGGAGCCCUUGGCAGCAUUGAUGAGCUCCUCUGCCAGGCACUCAGCAAUGGUCUUAAUGUUCCGGAAGGCAGCCUCACGAGCACCUGUGCACAGCAGCCAGAUGGCCUGAUUCACACGGCGAAGUGGGGACACGUCCACAGCCUGUCGUCUCACAGUCCCGGCGCACCCAAUGCGUGUGGAGUCCUCCCGGGGACCACUGUUGAUGAUGGCGUUCACCAGGACCUGCAGAGGGUUCUCGCCUGUGAGCAGGUGUAUGACCUCGAAGGCAUGCUUGACGAUGCACACAGUCAUGAGCUUCUUGCCGUUGUUGCAGCCGUGCAUCAUCAUGGAGUUAGUAAGGCGCUCCACAAUGGGACACUGAGCUUUGUGGAAGCAUUUGGCGGCAUACCACCCUGCACUGUGAGACACUCAAAGGUGAGAAUCAGUCCUAGGAAGAUUGUGAGCAACCAG